rnacentral:rRNA from 1 species
AAUCAUAAUUUUCUGUGAUGCAUUUGCUUGUUUGGUGCUUGGGGAUGUUUGAGGCAGAUUUGUAACCGCCGUUUUGAGGCCAGCUUGCUGGUACCCAAACAGCGUUAGCAUCUUUUGUCUUGGACAUUUGAGUAUGGCUUACGGGCAUUUAUUGGUUCGAUCUGAUUGUAAGUUACGGUCGCAUGCGACACGUGCUUUUCAUUUAGAUCGGUCCAGUUAAUGCUCUCGUACUCGCUCCCCAUGUAAAAGCCGGUCAUCUAUCCGACCCGUCUUGAAACACGGACCAAGGAGUUUAUCGUGUGCGCAAGUUUUUGGGUGUUAAAAACCUAAAAGCGAAAUGAAAGUAAAUGGCUCUUUAGAGUCUGACGUGCGAUCUUGUAAAAAAGGGCAGCAUGGCCCCAUUCUAACUGUUUACAGUAGGGUGGAGGAAGAGCGUACGCGGUGAGACCCGAAAGAUGGUGAACUAUUCCUGAGCAGGACGAAGCCAGAGGAAACUCUGGUGGAAGUCCGAAGCGGUUCUGACGUGCAAAUCGAUCGUCUGACUUGGGUAUAGGGGCGAAAGACUAAUCGAACCAUCUAGUAGCUGGUCC